rnacentral:rRNA from 1 species
ACAGACGAGUUUGAUCCUGGCUCAGAUUGAACGCUGGCGGCAUGCUUUACACAUGCAAGUCGAACGGUAGACCCUUUCGGGGGUUGAGAGUGGCGAACGGGUGAGUAAUGCAUCGGAACGUGCCCAGUCGUGGGGGAUAACGCAGCGAAAGUUGUGCUAAUACCGCAUACGACCUGAGGGUGAAAGCGGGGGACCGGUAACGGCCUCGCGCGAUUGGAGCGGCCGAUGUCUGAUUAGCUAGUUGGUGGGGUAAAGGCUCACCAAGGCGACGAUCAGUAGCGGGUCUGAGAGGAUGAUCCGCCACACUGGGACUGAGACACGGCCCAGACUCCUACGGGAGGCAGCAGUGGGGAAUUUUGGACAAUGGGGGAAACCCUGAUCCAGCCAUGCCGCGUGCGGGAAGAAGGCCUUCGGGUUGUAAACCGCUUUCGGACAGAAAGAAAUCGCAUGGAUUAAUACUCUGUGUGGAUGACGGUACUGUAAGAAGAAGCACCGGCUAACUACGUG